AACGAACGCUGGCGGCAGGCUUAACACAUGCAAGUCGAGCGAGCGGCGGACGGGUGAGUAAUGUCUGGGAAACUGCCUGAUGGAGGGGGAUAACUACUGGAAACGGUAGCUAAUACCACAUACCAUCAGAUGUGCCCAGAUGGGAUUAGGUGGUAGGUGGGGUAAUGGCUCACCUAGGCGACGAUCCCUAGCUGGUCUGAGAGGAGGACCAGCUACAGUGGAACGGAGACACGGUCCAGACUCCGACGGAGGGCAUCAGUGGGGAAUAUUGGACAAUGGGCGAAGGCCUGAGGCAGCCAUGCCGCGUGUGUGAAGAAGGCCUUCGGGUUGUAAAGCACUUUCAGCGGGGAGGCGUUACUCGCAGAGGAAGCACCGGCUAACUCCGUGCCAGCAGCCGCGGUAAUAC
rnacentral:rRNA from 1 species